rnacentral:rRNA from 1 species
GUGGGGAAUAUUGGACAAUGGGCGCAAGCCUGAUCCAGCCAUGCCGCGUGUGUGAAGAAGGCCUUUUGGUUGUAAAGCACUUUAAGCGAGGAGGAGGCUCCUUUAGUUAAUACCUAAAGAGAGUGGACGUUACUCGCAGAAUAAGCGCCGGCUAACUCUGUGCCAGCAGCCGCGGUAAUACAGAGGGUGCGAGCGUUAAUCGGAUUUACUGGGCGUAAAGCGUGCGUAGGCGGCUUUUUAAGUCGGAUGUGAAAUCCCUGAGCUUAACUUAGGAAUUGCAUUCGAUACUGGUUGGCUAGAGUAUGGGAGAGGAUGGUAGAAUUCCAGGUGUAGCGGUGAAAUGCGUAGAGAUCUGGAGGAAUACCGAUGGCGAAGGCAGCCAUCUGGCCUAAUACUGACACUGAGGUGCGAAAGCAUGGGGAGCAAACAGGAUUAGAAACCCGUGUAGUCC